GGGAGUAUGAUGAAAUAGGUAAACAUGUGACUCUUAAACAGUUAUGGACAUAAGUCUUUGAGGGUUCGAGUCCCUCUACUCCUAC
rnacentral:tRNA from 1 species